rnacentral:hammerhead_ribozyme from 1 species
AUCCAGUUGACGAGUCCCUAAUAGGAGAAACGCGAGUCCUGGAU